AUGGAACAGUUCAGCUACAAUAGCACAGCAAUUUCAGGAUAACACCAGCACAGCUACUUCUGGAUUACACUGCGACCUCAUGCUGCAUCUAAUUUUUUUAUUUGUCAUUCGUCA